UCCGGCUUGUCACCGGCAGUUUCUUCAGAGUGCCCAGCAUCACCUGAUGGCAACUGAAGAUGGGGGUUGCGCUCGUUGCGGGACUUAACCCAACAUCUCACGACACGAGCUGACGACAGCCAUGCAGCACCUGUGUUCCGAUUCCCUUUCGGGCACGCCCACCUCUCAGCGGGCUUCCGGACAUGUCAAGGGUAGGUAAGGUUGUUCGCGUUGCAUCGAAUUAAUCCACAUCAUCCACCGCUUGUGCGGGUCCCCGUCAAUUCCUUUGAGCUUUAACCUUGCGGCCGUACUCCCCAGGCGGUCAACUUCACGCGUUAGCUACGGUACCCAGGAAUCGCUUCCCGAACACCUAGUUGACAUCGUUUAGGGCGUGGACUAC
rnacentral:misc_RNA from 1 species